GGAGAGGUGGCCGAGUGGUUUAAGGCAGCGGUCUUGAAAACCGCCGUACGUUAAUAGCGUACCGUGGGUUCGAAUCCCACCCUCUCCGCCA
rnacentral:tRNA from 1 species